UACGUAGGGUGCAAGCGUUAAUCGGAAUUACCGGGCGUAAAGCGUGCGCAGGCGGUGAUGUAAGACAGAUGUGAAAUCCCAGGGCUCAACCUGGGAACUGCAUUUGUGACUGCAUCGCUGGAGUGCGGCAGAGGGGGAUGGAAUUCCGCGUGUAGCAGUGAAAUGCGUAGAUAUGCGGAGGAACACCGAUGGCGAAGGCGGCUCUCUGGGACGGUACUGACGCUGAGACGCGAAAGCGUGGGGAGCAAACAGG
rnacentral:rRNA from 1 species